GACGUAGGGCGCAAGCGUUGUCCGGAUUUAUUGGGCGUAAAGGAGCUCGUGAGCGGCUCGUUGCGUCGGCUGUGAAAACCCGCAGCUCAACUGUGGGCUUGCAGCCGAUACGGGCGGGCUGGAGUUCGGUAGGGGAGACUGGAAUUCCUGGUGUAGCGGUGAAAUGCGCAGAUAUCAGGAGGAACACCGAUGGCGAAGGCAGGUCUCUGGGCAUUAACUGACGCUGAGGAGCGAAAGCGUGGGGGAGCAAACAGG
rnacentral:rRNA from 1 species